AUUUGCUGGUCCUCCAUAGGAAAGUUAAGUAUCUUUGAUCUGCAAUUCAAAUGGGAUACAUAUAGGUACAAUAUAAAUAUCUUACGUGCCCAAAUCAAAACUCUAGCAUAUCAACUUGCAAUCAGGGGAAGGUUUUGAGGAGAAAAAUUAAUUCUCGUUAAUUAAAAAUUGAAAAACAAAGCAUCUCUUCUAUAUAAGAAGAAUAAAAACCUGAAAUUAUUUUGAUAAUUGACAGAACAAAUUGACAGGAUGACAAGUGCGUUCAUGAAAAAGAGGAUUGCCCUGAAUACCACUGUUCAUUCCCAUUGAUAUACUUGAAUUCGUUUCUGUUUGUUUCUUGGGAAAAGGGGGGAGAAGAGCGGCUAGCUCCAUAUAUUAAGGCAUUAUAUUCCAUCUGUUUCUAUGUGAUCUUGGAUUUCAGUAUUUACCAUUGGAAUCUGAAGUAAUGCAUAAAGGUUUUACUUUAUAUGUUCAUAUUAUCAGACAAAAACAAUAAGUAGCUUUCUUCCAAGUCAAAAGCAGAUAAAUCAAGACUUUUUCUGCUUUGCAACAUCUCAAUCACUAUUAUUCUUAGUAUUUGAUGAAUAUAUGAAAAACUAUAGUGUUGCCUAUGCAACCAGAUGAUCAAGAAAAAAAAGGAACACUUGAACGUGAUGCAGUAAGAAUUGGGUGAUGAACAUUGAUCAGUUCUCUGUUGAUUAUAGGUAAAAAAGGAACAGCAGUUGAAAUUGGAUAGGCCUGCAAGGGGCAGGAUUUGUGAUGCCAUAGCAAAAGUCCUAAACAUUGUUCAUGGAGAGUAAAAACAACUGAUCUGCUCCUUGAUAGAGGCCUGAAUCAAAAGAAUUCUGAUCCUGGUUUUGCUGAGCUUGAUGAAAAAGACAACACCCAAAUUAAUUGAACUAUGUGAGUUAAUUGUGUUCUUUACUUGUUUUAGAGAAGCUAACCUCAUAGAAUUGUAGUUAUUACUGCAGAGAAUUCAUGGCACCAGAUCUAUGCAUUAUUUAGCAUUUGAAAUCAUUGCUUGUAAUUUAGCAUCAACCAAAUGAAAAUGUUGUAUGUCUCCUGGAUUGGGUAAUCUUAUAAUCAUGUUCUUUAGAUCGAUGCAACAAAAUCCCCACUUCUGCUACAAAGCUGCUUCAAAAUCAGUUCAGCUUUUCUAAAAGUCAAGUCUCUCCAUAUCUUAGAUAUUCUGAGACAAAAAUUGCUGACCAGUGAUAUCAUAAUUACAGUUAAAAUUCUGUAAAUUUCAAUUAGAUUCUGCUUCUUAUGCUUAUUUCAAGAACUUCCCUUACAGCCCAAGGGAGUCAUGAUGCUGCUUGUUCAUCCAAGAUUGCAGUUGGAGUUUGACAAAGUGUUGAAGACUGAUUAAAGUAUCAUUUGUAUGCACUAAUACCUAUACUUGAAGGCCAAUCUCAUUUUCUUGCAUAAAGAAGCAUAUUAUUGAUGUCUUGGAUAAAUCUCAUCUGAGUGCGCUCGUCCAAUGAUUGCAAGUAAGUUGUGAUGGUCUUUACUUUGUUUGCGUGGGGUAAAUAUACAUAGUUAUGAGUAAGAUUUUUACUUUUUCUUUUGAAGCAACAAGAGUUGAUUGCCCAUUUUUUCCACAUUGCUUCUGAGCUUUGAAACCAAGUACUCCUCAGAAAGUAUGUCCAAGUCCUGAUUUAAGUUGGCAGUUGCAGGUUGACUAGCUUAUAGUAUUAACAGAAAAUUCCAUGCCAUGGGGAUGGGAUGCAAAGUACUACUCAAAAUAUCCAUCAAAACACAACUUUAGCGUAAUUGCCACAACUUCUUGAACAGCCCCACGGCUCUCUUCUCAGCACAAGCCACUUGUAGGAGCACUGACAGCAACAGUGUCAGGAAUUAAACUUGCUAGUUUCAUCCAUUUGACAAUGCAAACAAUAACCAUCCAUCAAUGGAUUUUUAUAUAGAAUAAAUGUAGAACUUUUUUAAACCGUUCCUUCCUUACGAAAUGUCAUCACCAUUUCUUUGAAGAAAACUGAAGCUUAAUUGGAUUGGCCUGAACUAUGUAGACCAUGAAUCACGGAGCUGUAAGUGGCUUCAUUCCAUGGUAAAAAAUAAAAAAAGCUGUAAGUGGCAACAUCAGGUGAAAUUCUACCACACUAGGCACAACCCCUCUUGAAUAAGCCUUUUAGCAAACCAGUAGCUGCACUAGUUUCUCUAAUUUUACAUACACCAUUGACGAUCUCAGUAAAUGUAUAGGCAUGAGGUUGGUACUCUCUGGCCAUUGGCAAUCUCAGUAAGUUACUGAGAACAAUUCACCAAUGGCGUCAUUUGACUUGAAAAGUUGAUUCAUGAGGAAGGCAUCCUUGGCUCGAGCAGCAUUUUUCCUCUCUUGCUAUCUAAAGUAAAUAUUGGAGUUUGAAUGACAUGUCGUUUCAAGUGGUCUUUUGCAAAGGAAAAGUUGUGGUAGGUGAACAACGCACGACUCAAAAGCAGGUGAAGGGAAGCAAUUCAAACCUUCGACACCUUGUUUAGCUGAAGGAAUACAAUUCAAGUAAACAGAAUCAAACAGGUCGUUGGUUCUUGAAAGAAUAAAGAUUGGGACUGUCUCUGGUUUUCUUUGCUCCCAAGACCUUGAUCUUUCUCUGAGACCUUAUAUUACAUCCUAAUUCAAUGUCCAGAAGAUUUCAUGGAAAUGUGGUAAGCUUCCUUUUCUCCUUUUAUUUAUUUUAUUAUUUUUCUCUCUCUUUGUAGAUAACAUUUAGUUGAGCUUAGUAACUGCUAAUGUCAAUUCUUGACUAUGCUGUUCAUCAUGUACUAACAAUAGCUAUUUCUAUUCGUACUAACAAUUGAACAGGUGAUGAUCGUUGAGGACACAAAUGCAUAUGAACAGUUGUAUUUAGUGCUUAAUUUCUG
rnacentral:misc_RNA from 1 species